CAGUCUCUGCCCGUCACCAUCAACGCUACCUGUGAAGGGAAAUGUUUGUUUUGCCUUUAUACUGUGCUGGCAGACUCUCCUCUUAACUAUGGUGUGCUCAGGACCAUCAGUUAAUUAUUUUACUGUUCUAUGUGUUUUCAGUGUUAUAUCAUUCUUGAGAGAGAGAGAGAGAGAGAGAGAGAGAGAGAGAGAGAGAGAGAGAGAGAGAGAGAGAGAGAGAGAGAGUGUGUGUGUGUAAAUCUAAAUACCUCUCGAGAUAAUUUUUAAUAUCUAUAUUCUCUUCCCUCUCCCUCCAGUCAACACCCUUGCGACACCACCACCACCACCACCACCGCCACCACUACUAUGACUUCAUCCUCGACCUCAGUGACAUCUUAUUGACCAGCCAGCUCCUACAAUUCCAAACCCCGGAGCGCAGCCAGGCUCAGCGGGAGGCCGGCGGGUGACGCGUCUCUCCUUGCCUCACCGCCUCUCCGCGCCGCCAGGUUAUAAAAGAAUUUGCUUCCUUGUGCAAACGUGCGGCGAGGAAGUCUUCUGCAAAAUGACCGCUGUACUGCUGCUGGUGAUGCAUGAGUGCGUGGCGCUGCGGCGAGGCGCGGCACGGGAUGGCUGGCUAGCUUUUUGGACUCAGGAUGGAAGGACGAAAGGAUGGGAGGAUGCAAGGAUGGAUCUCUCCUAUCAAAUAACUGACGUGGAGAAGAAAAAGAGAGAAGAAAAAGAAAGAAAGAAGAAGAAGAAGAAGAAGAAGAAGAAGAAGAAGAGAAGAAGACAAGCCAAAACAGGAAACCCCGCGAGCAUUGCAGAUGUGGAAAGGUGUGGAGAAGUACUGGAAACAUCUGCACCAAACCUGUUAAUCCUUCCACACCUCGCAGAGAGAGAGAGAGAGAGGAAAAAAGGUGGGUG